rnacentral:misc_RNA from 1 species
AAAGCGUUGUCUGUGAGAAUGAGACAAAUAGUUAUGUCUCUCCCUUAUAUUUUCAAGUUUCAACUUUCUAUUUCCUUCAAGUAAGAUUUGGAAUUGAUUGUUAGCCAAGUUAACUUAGAUCUUGUUUCUUCGGUGAUGGAUCUGUGAGAGUAAACGAAGAGGAACAAAAAGGAUUUUCUUUUGGAAAAUACAAUAUUCAUGACUUACGUAGUAAGAAGGGAGUUUACUGGUUACUGGAUGUUUAAAAGCUAGAUGCACUAAAGAGCCUUUCUCAAACAUGUUGAUGUCCUUGAGUUUCAUAGUAAAGUCAGAGGUGUUGUUUACAAGCUCUUGGAUGGUUUCCUAACGGCUCAGACCAAUUAUCAAGCAGUGCUAGUUGUCAUGAUUUGACUUAUUGAGUUAACCAUGGUCCCCUUUAGGAGAUGGUUCCUGGUUGGUGAGUAUGGGCUGAAGAUCACUAUGUUGUGCUCAUAAUGAUUAUGAACCUCCAGUCAAAGUGGUCAUGCUUGGCAAGCUCCAGCCACUCGUGAACAUUUGAAGCAGUCGUCAGUAUGAGCUCCAUCAGCUCAUGAACGCUCGAAGUGGUCAUCUCUUGGAAUUCAGCAAUACGAGCUCCAUUCAUAAUUGGACAAGCACUUUAUGUGAUUGUUGUCAUGCAGACCAAUCAGAU